GUUUUAUUUAAUUAAUAGAUCUAUUGUGUUUGGUUUCAAUUGACGAGGUUUUUUCGAUAGUCAUCACUGUUCGAAAUCAAGAAAGGUGUGUGUAUAUGGUCUCUGUUUGAAGUAAGAGAGCGAUUUUGAAUAGGUGAAGAUCCCAGAAUGAUUUUGAAUAGGUGAAGAUCCCAGAAUUAUACAUGGUGUUUAAUGUAACAAUCUCUAUAAAAGCAAAAAUAUCUCACGGACGAUGUGAAUGUUGAAACUGCAGUACACGCUAAUGAAAGUUCCAGUUAUCUUACCAUCUUCAAGAAUCAUUGUGGACUGACCAGUGAUUCAGAGGGAUCUAUUAAGCGACGAUGGACCCGUUCGGCCGUUCAAUCGUUCACAUCUUACACCAAAGAGUUUUAUAAAUUCAAAAUCGACGGUUAAAAAAUUAAAUUGGCUCCUAGUUGUGUCGUUUUUUGAUUUGAUCAAGAUCAAGUUGUCACACAUAAAGAGUUACAAAACUCCAGGUUUGCAUAUUUAUUUGUUUUACUUAUAGUCCAAUUGUUGCAAACAGGGGUUCAAUCCUUCAACCUAAACUCGCCGCCAUCAGCUGAUUCCGUUGCCGGUAGGAGGUGGCGUCGGAAACAACCAUCGUCGUCUCUCUUUCUCUCUCUGUUGUUGUCUUCUUUCUCUCUCUGUUGUUGAUUUCCAUGUUUGUCUGAGUAGAAAUUGUUAUAUAGUAUAAUUACACAUAUGUCCCUGGCUAA